rnacentral:rRNA from 1 species
GAUGAACGCUAGCGACAGGCUUAACACAUGCAAGUCGAGGGGCAGCAUGGGGGUUGCUUGCAACCCCCGAUGGCGACCGGCGCACGGGUGAGUAACGCGUAUCCAACCUGCCCUUCACCACGGGAUAACCCGGCGAAAGUCGGACUAAUACCGUAUGUUGUCCAUUGACGGCAUCCGAUUUGGACGAAAGGCUUGGCGGUGAGGGAUGGGGAUGCGUCCGAUUAGCCAGACGGCGGGGUAACGGCCCACCGUGGCUACGAUCGGUAGGGGUUCUGAGAGGAAGGUCCCCCACACUGGAACUGAGACACGGUCCAGACUCCUACGGGAGGCAGCAGUGAGGAAUAUUGGUCAAUGGGCGUAAGCCUGAACCAGCCAAGUAGCGUGCAGGAUGACGGCCCUAUGGGUUGUAAACUGCUUUUAUGCGGGGAUAAAGUGGCCCACGUGUGGGUUUUUGCAGGUACCGCAAAUAAGGACCGGCUA